CACUAGAAGAAAUCUGGUCUUUAAUGUCGGGUGGAAAAAAUGAAAAAUAAGCUUUAAUGUCGGUUUUCAAAAAGCGGAUGUUUAAUGUCGGUUUUAAACCGACAUUAAAGCUUUAUCUUUAAUGUCGGUUUAAAACCGACAUUAAACAUCAUGUUUUUUAGAACCGACAUUAAAGGUUUUUUUUUAUUUUAUUUUUUAUUUUUUUAAUUUUGUAAAAAGUUGAAUUUUUCUCUCUCCUACUUUACUCUUUUCUCCUUUCUUCUCUACCAAACCCUAAACUUUACUCUUUUCUCCUUUCUUCUCUACCAAACCCUACGAAAGAAGGUUUUCUCUCAACAUUUCUUCCCUUUCUUCCUUUCUCAAUCUCAUCACUUUCUAAUCUCCCCUUGGCUUCCAGUCAAAACCUUCAUAUUCCCCACCUUCACCAUCGCCGCCGUGAAAUCCGCCUUCCAGAGGCUCCGACUACUCCGAUAACGAUAUGAAAAUUAGGGAUGAUAAGGAAAUUGAGGCCACCGUUGUUGAUGGAAACGGUACUGAAACAGGCCAUAUAAUUGUAACAACCAUUGGUGGAAAGAAUGGCCAACCAAAGCAGGAAACAAUAUAAAGCUUCGCUGUUCAAAAAAGAGAGUACUACGUCCAAGGCUUUCAGGCGGAGAUUUCUACGACUCACUCGCAAUACCCUUUUGAGCCCAUAAGUCUUUGAUUGUUCACUUUCCGCUUCCAUUUCAAGCUACAAUUUUUCUGGUUUUCAAGAGUCAGAAAUGGCAGCAACAUCAGCAACUAGUUUGUCAAUUGGAGCAACUGCAUCACUUAAUACUAAGCUCAACUUGUUUUCCCAGUCAAAGUCUACUAGCCUAAGAAUCAAUUCACAAGAGAAGCUUCAGAGCUUCUGUGGCCUCAAGGCAGAUUCAUCCCUUCGUUGUGACUCAGAGUCGUCUUUCCUAGGGAAACAGAGCAGCGCUGCCCUAUGGCGUCAUCUUGCUCCUUCAGUACAAAGAGCGAACCUGAAUUUAUGCAAAAAUCUUCAACCUCAAGCCUCUUACAAAGUUGCUGUUCUUGGAGCUGCUGGAGGAAUAGGUCAUUUUCUACUAGAGGAGGAUGAUAAGUUUCUAGAUAAGGUUUGAGCUACAGUUCAGGAAGAGGAAUGUCAAGCCCUUGCUGCAUUUGGUGCCUGUUUCCAAUAUUAAUAAUUGUUUGAAGAAGCAUUUUCGAGACCUUUAAAAUGUCGUGAUUUUUGAAUUUAUAUAAUUAUGUUUGGUUGCAGUUAAUUUUACAAGCGUGUUUUCAUUGUUGGUGGAAUCAGACUUGAAUAAUAUGAGAUUUAUGUGCUUUAAGAUAUGAAUGGGAUUUAUUGUUGCUUUAAGAUA